GUAAACCAAAUCAUCAUCUAACGUUCACCUUUUUUUUAUUAUAACAAUACCCAUGACACGGCCUUAGUGUCUUUAGUUUUCACAUAAAAAUUGCUGCUGUGAUGGUAAAUCGCGAACCGCGCUGGUUCGCUGGAAAUAACGCGAGAUUUGGCCCUAUACUUUCAACAUUUGGAACUAGGAGCCACGAGACCCGCCAAUAGCUUUAAGAAGCGGCACGCGCCAUGGAUGACUCUGGCAUCAUUCGAAGACGAAGGCUGCAGAAGGAUCUACCUCUGCCUCGUAAAAGUAGCAGUUGUAGAACCAGUAACCGGAAGAGUCUCAUUCUGACCAGUACUUCCCCCACCCUGCCGAGGCCGCACUCUCCAUUACCUGGACACAUAGG